rnacentral:rRNA from 1 species
CCAUAAACCGUGGCUCAGUUCAGAUCGUAGGCUGCAACUCGCCUACGUGAAGGAGGAAUCGCUAGUAAUCGCAGGUCAGCAUACUGCGAUGAAUACGUUCCCGGGCCUUGUACACACCGCCCGUCACACCAUGGAAGUUGGCCACGCCCGAAGCCGUUACUCCAACCCUUGUGGAGGAGGACGUCGAAGGUGGGGCUGAUGACUGGGGUGAAGUCGUAACAAGAUAUCCGUACCGGAAGGUGCGGAUGGAUCACCUCCUAA